rnacentral:rRNA from 1 species
GAUCUGGCUCAGGAUGAACGCUAGCUACAGGCUUAACACAUGCAAGUCGAGGGGCAGCAUGAUUGAAGCUUGCUUCAAUCGAUGGCGACCGGCGCACGGGUGAGUAACACGUAUCCAACCUGCCGAUAACUCGGGGAUAGCCUUUCGAAAGAAAGAUUAAUACCCGAUAGUAUAGUAUUUCCGCAUGGUUUCACUAUUAAAGAACUUCGGUUAUCGAUGGGGAUGCGUUCCAUUAGA